rnacentral:misc_RNA from 1 species
GAUGAAGAACGCAGCGAAAUGCGAUAAGUAGUGUGAAUUGCAGAAUUCCGUGAAUCAUCGAAUCUUUGAACGCACAUUGCGCCCGCUAGUAUUCUGGCGGGCAUGCCUGUCCGAGCGUCAUUUCAACCCUCAAGCCCCCGGGCUUGGUGUUGGGGAUCGGCGAGCCUCCGCGCCCGCCGUCCCCUAAAUCUAGUGGCGGUCUCGCUGUAGCUUCCUCUGCGUAGUAGCACACCUCGCACUGGGAAACAGCGCGGCCACGCCGUUAAACCCCCAACUUCUGAACGUUUGACCUCGGAUCAGGUAGGAAUACCCGCUGAACUUAAGCAUAUCAAUAAGCGGAGGA